rnacentral:rRNA from 1 species
GUCCAGACUCCUACGGGAGGCAGCAGUGGGGAAUAUUGCACAAUGGGGGGAACCCUGAUGCAGCGACGCCGCGUGGGUGAAGGAGCCCCUCGGUGCGUAAAGCCCUAUCGGCAGGGAAGAAAAGCGAACAGGUUCGCCUGGACGGUACCUGACUAAGAAGCCCCGGCUAACUACGUGCCAGCAGCCGCGGUAAUACGCAUGGUGCAAGCGUUAUCCGGAUUUACUGGGUGUAAAGGGAGCGCAGGCGGCACGGCAAGCCUGAUGUGAAAGCCCGCGGCCCAACCGCGGGACUGCAUUGGGAACUACCGGGCUGGAGUGCCGGAGAGGUAGGCGGAAUUCCUAGUGUAGCGGUGAAAUGCGUAGAUAUUAGGAAGAACACCAGUGGCGAAGGCGGAUGACUGGACGACAACUGACGGUGAGGCGCGAAAGCGUGGGGAGCAAACAGGAUUAGAUACCCCAGUAG